GACGAACGCUGGCGGCGUGCUUAACACAUGCAAGUCGAACGGAAAGGCCCCCACUUUUUUGGUGGGGGUGCUCGAGUGGCGAACGGGUGAGUAACACGUGGGUGAUCUGCCCUGUACUUCGGGAUAAGCUUGGGAAACUGGGUCUAAUACCGGAUAGGACCAUGGUUUAGUGUCUCAUGGUGGAAAAAUUAUUGUUUUGGUGCAGGAAGAGCUCGCGGCCUAUCAGCUUGUUGGUGGGGUAAUGGCCUACCAAGGCGUCGACGGGUAGCCGGCCUGAGAGGGUGGACGGCCACAUUGGGACUGAGAUACGGCCCAGACUCCUACGGGAGGCAGCAGUGGGGAAUAUUGCACAAUGGGCGCAAGCCUGAUGCAGCGACGCCGCGUGGGGGAUGACGGCCUUCGGGUUGUAAACUCCUUUCGUUAGGGACGAAGCCGCACCUUUUUUGGGUGUGGUGACGGUACCUUUGUUAAGAAGCACCGGCUAACUACGUG
rnacentral:rRNA from 1 species